rnacentral:lncRNA from 1 species
UCCAUACCCACCACCGCUACCACUCCCCGCACCUCCACCGUAACCUCCUGCAUGCUCCCCACCAGCCCCAUAGUACCCACCACUACCACCGCCACUCCCUCCACCACCUCCACCUCCAUACCCGCUACCAUGUUCUCCAUACCCACCAUACCCUGAACCACUUCCCGUACCACCACCACCUCCAUAACUAGGAACAUGAUCAUACCCACCACCACCAGCAUAUCCACCUCCACCACCUUGGCCCCCACCGCCACCGCCACCAUAUCCUCCACCAUGUUCACCUCCUCCUCCAUACCCACUACCACUACCACUCCCGGAACCCUGACCACCACCUCCAUACGAGCCAUAUCCUGGCCCUACAUGUCCACCUCCACCACCACCACUACCACUACCUCCUCCUCCACCACCACCGAUACUCUCAUAACUGAAAAGUGAUCUGGUGGCUGAGCAAAUGCCAAUGCAAAAGAAGACAAAGAAAACAUUAAGAACAACUUUCUGAGAAGCCAUUUUAGGAAAGUUUGAGUAACUACAAAGAUCUUGAAAUGCUAUUUAUAGGAAUUCCGAGGAAGCUAGACGUCAAAAACUAUGAAUGAGUAUGCACAUGGUGACUUGAAAGUGGGUGUAUCGAUCCCAUAUUGGGUCCAGCCUCCACCUACCUACGGCGCAC